rnacentral:rRNA from 1 species
GCGCAGCAGUCGAGAAAACUUUACAAUGUGCGAAAGCACGAUAAGGGAACUCUGAGUGCCUCCUAAGGAGGCUGUUCUGAUGUCUAAAAAGCAACAGAAGUAAGGGCUGGGUAAGACCGGUGCCAGCCGCCGCGGUAACACCGGCAGCCCAAGUGGUAGCCACGUUUAUUGGGUCUAAAGCGUUCGUAGCCGGCCAGGUAAGUUCCUUGGUAAAUUUAGCCGCUUAACGGUUAAGCUUUCAGGGAAUACUGCUUGGCUUGGGACUGGGGAGAGGUCAGAGGUACUCCGGGGGUAGGGGUGAAAUCUAUUAAUCCUUGGGGGACCACCGGUAGCGAAGGCGUCUGACCAGACCAGGUCCGACGGUGAGGGACGAAGGCUAGGGGCGCGAACCGGAUUAGAUACCCCCGUAGU